GAUGUGGCUCAAGUGGUAGUGCGCUCGCCUGGCAUGCCUGGGGCACUGGGUUCGAUUCUCAGCACG
rnacentral:tRNA from 1 species